rnacentral:piRNA from 1 species
AUCAGCCCACACCUCCGAUGCCAAGCAC